rnacentral:rRNA from 1 species
UACGAAGGGUGCAAGCGUUAAUCGGAAUUACUGGGCGUAAGCGUGCGCAGGCGGUUGUGCAGGACAGAUGUGAAAUCCCCGGGCUCAACCUGGGAAUUGCAUUUGUGACUGCACGGCUAGAGUGUGUCAGGAGGGGGGUAGAAUUCCACGUGUAGCAGUGAAAUGCGUAGAGAUGUGGAGGAAUACCGAUGGCGAAGGCAGCCCCCUGGGAUAACACUGACGCUCAUGCACGAAAGCGUGGGGAGCAAACAGG